AGAGCUUUAGUUUAGUUAAAAUAUCUGUGUUGCAAGCAGGAGAUGUAGUAUUGCAAGCUCUA
rnacentral:tRNA from 1 species